GACGAACGCUGGCGGCGUGCCUAACACAUGCAAGUCGAGCGAAGUGAGUACUACGGUACGAACUUAGCGGCGGACGGGUGAGUAACGCGUGGACAAUCUACCCUGUAGACUGGGAUAACACCUCGAAAGGGGUGCUAAUACCGGAUAAUGUCGAGAAGCGGCAUCGCUUUUCGAAGAAAGGAGAGAAUCCGCUAUAGGAGGAGUCCGCGUCCCAUUAGCUAGUUGGUGAGGGUAACGGCCCACCAAGGCGACGAUGGGUAGCCGGCCUGAGAGGGUGAACGGCCACACUGGAGCUGAGACACGGUCCAGACUCCUACGGGAGGCAGCAGUGGGGAAUAUUGUGCAAUGGGGGAAACCCUGACGCAGCAACGCCGCGUGAGCGAAGAAGGCCUUCGGGUUGUAAAGCUCAAUAGUAUGGGAAGAUAAUGACGGUACCAUACGAAAGCCCCGGCUAACUACGUGCCAGCCGCCGCCGUAACAC
rnacentral:rRNA from 1 species